AGUGAACGCUGGCGGCGUGCCUAAUACAUGCAAGUCGAACGGAGUGGCGCACGGGUGGGUAAUGUAUAGCUAAUCUGCCCUACACUAGAGGCCAACAGGUGGAAACGGCUGCUAAUACUCUAUAGUGUAGGAUGAGGCUGUAUUGUAUCAGCUAGUUGGUGAGGUAAUGGCUCACCAAGGCUAUGACGCAUACCUAGUCUGACUGGAUGAUCAGGCACACUUGAACGGAGACACGGUGCAGAGUCCUACGGGAGGGAGCAGUAGGGAAUAUCGAUCAAUGGGGGGAACGUGGAAGCAGCAACGCCGCGUAGAGGAUGACAUGUUACGGAGCGUAAACUCCGUUUGUUAGGGAAGCGGUACCUAACGAAUAAGCACCGGCUAACUCCGUGCCAGCCGCCGCGGUAAUAC
rnacentral:rRNA from 1 species